rnacentral:rRNA from 1 species
AACAAAAACAUGGCUUUUAGGGUGGAAUUUAAGGUCGGGCCUGCCCACUGAGUUAUUUGAAGGGCCGCGGUAUCUUGACCGUGCAAAGGUAGCAUAAUCAUUAGUCUUUUAAUUGAGGGCUGGAAUGAAUGGUUUGACGAAAUAUUGACUGUCUCUUUAUAAUAAAUAGAAUUUAACUUUUGAGUUAAAAGGCUUAAAUGAAUAUAAAAGACGAGAAGACCCUAUAGAUCUUUAUAUAAUUAUGUGAUUGCUUUAUUUAGUUGUUUUGUUUACAAUUAUUUAAUUGUAUUUUGUUGGGGUGACAUGAAGAUAAAAUUAACUCUUUAUAAUAGGAACAUUGAUUUAUGGAUAGAUGAUCCGUUAUUAACGAUUAUAAGAUAAAGUUACCUUAGGGAUAACAGCGUAAUUUUUUUUGAGAGUUCUUAUCGACAAAAAAGAUUGCGACCUCGAUGUUGGAUUAAGGAAUAUGAUUAGGUGUAGCAGUUUAAUUAAUAAGUCUGUUCGACUUUUAAAUCCUUACGUCAUCUGAGUUCAGACCCGGAG